GAAAAAUAUGCCAGAGGAAUUGUGAGCUUGUUCCCCCAUCUCUGGGACCCCUUCUCAGAAAAUGGACACGAGCAUUAUUAUGAUGGUAAAAGUGACAGUGGCUACUUGGCUUGGAGGCUUAAAUACAUUCAAAGAUGCAAUGCCCAAGAAAGAAAAUCAAUUGAAGCCUCCUCCACUGAAGGAAUGAGCGGUGACGAACUGUUGGGAGGACCAACAGCCAGGCG